rnacentral:rRNA from 1 species
CCCUUAGAUGUUCGGGGCCGCACGUGCGCUACACUGAAGGAGGCAGCGUGUACUCCUGGAUCGAAAGAUUUGGGUAACCCGCGAAUCUCCUUCGUGCUAGGGAUUGAGGUUUGCAAUUAUCCUUCAUGAACGAGGAAUUCCCAGUAAGUGCAAGUCAUAAGCUUGCGCUGACUACGUCCCUGCCCUUUGUACACACCGCCCGUCGCUACUACCGAUUGAAUGAUUUAGUGAGGACUUCGGACUGGGACCGAUGCGGCUUUCGGGCUGCGUCGGUAUUCUGGAAAGAUGUCCAAACUGUAUCAUUUAGAGGAAGUAAAAGUCGUAACA